AGAGUUUGAUCCUGGCUCAGAUUGAACGCUGGCGGCAUGCCUUACACAUGCAAGUCGAACGGCAGCGCGGGGCAACCUGGCGGCGAGUGGCGAACGGGUGAGUAAUAUAUCGGAACGUGCCCUGGAGUGGGGGAUAACGCAGCGAAAGUUGCGCUAAUACCGCAUACGAUCUAAGGAUGAAAGCAGGGGACCGCAAGGCCUUGUGCUCCUGGAGCGGCCGAUAUCUGAUUAGCUAGUUGGUGGGGUAAAGGCCUACCAAGGCAUCGAUCAGUAGCUGGUCUGAGAGGACGACCAGCCACACUGGAACUGAGACACGGUCCAGACUCCUACGGGAGGCAGCAGUGGGGAAUUUUGGACAAUGGGCGAAAGCCUGAUCCAGCAAUGCCGCGUGAGUGAAGAAGGCCUUCGGGUUGUAAAGCUCUUUUGUCAGGGAAGAAA
rnacentral:rRNA from 1 species